rnacentral:rRNA from 1 species
AUGGAGUAUCAGCCAAUCAUCUCUGCACUUGAUGUCCGCACCGAGCCUAUCACCGUCGACACGCUCUUCUUGCUGGUGGCAAACUUCGAUCAAAACAUCAAGAUGUUCCAUGGGAACGGCGCUGGUGGCUUUAAGUCAUCGGCGAACGCUGCCUCCAGGGGUCGCUCGGGCGGCGGCAAAGGCGGUUACCGUAACCAGACGAACGGUGGUCGCGGAGGCGGCUAUUAUGGUGGUGGCGGCCAAAACCCUAGCAGCGGCUACCCUGGCGCGGGUAGUGGUGGCUACAACCACGGCGGCGGCGGCUACAACAAUCAAGGCAACAGCUGCGGUCAAGGCGGCAGCCACCAUGGCGGCGGUGGUGGAAACUACAACAACAACCAUGGCGGCAACGGGGCUACCACAACAACAACGGCCAUCCACGCCCCUUCUACAACAACAAUCAAGGGCGCCGGUUUGCUGGGUAUGAAGAGUAUGAAAACAAAUGUCAGAUCUGUAAAAAAAAUAACCAUAUUGCAAAAGAAUGCAAUUGGCGCUAUGCAGAGGACAACUCCCAGAGGAGGUGUGUUGCCGCUGCAGCAGACAUCUCCUACGGUGCCGAUUCAAACGGGUAUGUUGAUUCGGGAUCCAACGAGCACAUCACCUCCGACCUCGAGAAACUGA